rnacentral:rRNA from 1 species
UACGGGGGGUGCGAGCGUUGUCCGGAAUCACUGGGCGUAAAGGGCGCGUAGGUGGUUUGAUAAGGGUGUGGUGAAAGUCCGGGGCUCAACCCCGGAUCUGCCGUGCCGACUGUCAAACUCGAGGACUGUAGAGGCAGACGGAAUUCCGGGUGUAGCGGUGGAAUGCGUAGAGAUCCGGAGGAAGACCAGUGGCGAAGGCGGCUUCUUGGCCUGUUCUUGACGCUGAGGCGCGAAAGCUGGGGGAGCAAACGGG